UUCCUACAAGUUGAAUGACUCCUUCCUUAUUCAUAAAAAAUCGCUAUGUUCAACAAUUUCUCCUAUUUGUUCACCUGUAUCUGCGAUUAGGGUUUUUCACCCUUCUACUCUACUCUUUUUGAGAUUCACCCACGUCUCCGAUUCACCUGGGUAUGCGAUUCACCAUGGAGUAUUCAUAGCUUCAUAGAAAGCGUAAAAAUUUCACCAUGGUAGGGAUUUGACACCUGCAAGAGCUUUGACAUUGCUUUCUCUGUUUGCUGUUCUUCGAUUUCCUCUCUUCAUACUUCCGAAAUUUAUAACUCAGUAGAAUACUCGUGAAUCAAAAAUCUGUUGCUCAUUCAAGACUACAAAGUUUCUGAAGCUACAACUCCUUCUGCUGUUGAGAUUAUACCAGGUGGACAAAAUGUGGACAAAAUCAGCAAAGCUCCACAACUAUGGGUACCAAAUGUGAGACAAUGUACAAUGGUCACCUAAUGCCCAUUAUUUGGAAUUCUCCUCGCAAGAUGGCUUAUGCUUUUUGGUGAAGUUUGAGUAAGCGAACUGGGAUCAACUUGGAGCAGAACAUGAAAAUGAUGACAUGGUCAUCAAAGGAGUUGCAGCAUAUUAGUAGGAAACAACCACCAGAUCCAGAUUGUAAACAAAGUGAAGCAGAUAAACUACAAUCAAAGUUUAGAUGGCAUAAAACUAGGGCCAACAGAAAAGACAGUGAAUCAAUUGUCAACUUUAAAGAGCACACAUGUCUCAAAUAAGCCAGCCAAGAAGCACAUUACUCCUAUUGCAAUUGAACCAUGAUUUUUCAGUGUCGGAGAAAUUUCGUUAACUUUCGCCUUUGUACAACUAUUAUGCGGCUAACAUUUCCAAAUCACCCCUCUCAUUUUUCCUGUUUCGGUUUACACAUUCUGUAAUAUAAAUUGAAUCAAAAUAUUUAUCAAUCUCACUUUUGAAGACUUCCUUGUGAA